ACCGUGCAAAGGUAGCAUAAUCAUUAGUUUUUUAAUUGAAAGCUGGAAUGAACGGUUGGACGAGAAAAUAACUGUCUCAAUUUAAUUGAAUGUAGAACUUUAUUUAUAAGUAAAAAAGCUUAUAUAAUUUUAAAAGACGAGAAGACCCUAUAGAGUUUUAUAGUUUAUUAUAUUGAUUGGGUUUAGUAUGUUUAUACUUUUUAUAUAAUAAACUAUUUUGCUGGGGCAGCAGAAAAAUUGAGUUAACUUUUUUUAUAUUUUUUACAUUGAUUUAUGGUUUAAUGAUCCAUUUUUUAUGAUUAUAAGAUUAAAUUACCUUAGGGAUAACAGCGUAAUUUUUUUUUAGAGUUCUUAUCGAAAAAAGAGUUU
rnacentral:rRNA from 3 species